rnacentral:lncRNA from 10 species
AACACCACAAUGGCUCAGAGCCCAGGUUAACGACAAAUACUGAAACUCAGUCUUGGCCUGAACCUGGUGACCUGGAGCUGGUGGAAGGCCUGGUGAGAGACAGCUCAGACACUGGCUCACUCUUUCCUGGCUGAAGCCUGACUCCUGGUGGACAGAAACAUCAGCGACAGACUUCUAUUUUCAAACGUCUACAUACACAUCUUAGGGAAAGUUUAUUUAUCCCCUCAUUUUGUCAUUCAACAAAUAUGUACUGAUCACAUUCUACAUGCCAAGCAUGAUGGGAAUGUAAAAAUAAAUUUGAGAUGACGUCUUUGAGGAAAACGGCUUCUCUCUACUUUCGUUCGCAUUUUCUUGUGUUUCAAUAGUAGGGUAUAGUGUGGUAGUUUUCUUCAUGUAAGUCCUACUCCUCAGUUACAAUUCAGUUUCUUUCCAGGUUGCUACUGAGAAUGGAAUAUUCUUCUUGGUGUCUUUUCUGAUUACAGUAGUGGCCCGGAAGCUAUGGAUUUUCAUGGGUUGUUUCCAUGUGGCCACUUUACUGGACUGUUAGCUGUUCGGACUCUUCUUCUUGGCUCUCAAGGUUCCCUACUCAAGAGGUGCAGCAGCUGCUGAGUUCUUUGCCUCCACUCAGGGCCGCAGUUCCUGUCUGAAGGCUGCCGGCCACCUCCUGCUCUCCCAGGGCUCCCUGCCUGCUCCCACCCCUUGCCUCUCAGGCCUUGCCAGGGAAUUGCUUCUCACCUUGUGUUGGUCCCCUGAACCUCCCCUAUACCUCUCUAAUACUUGUGAUCCCUGAUUAAAAGUUUCUCAGUGGCCUGAGGGGAUCAUCUGCAUCCUCCCCGGAGCCUGACUGGCUUUAGAGCUUCAAAACAUUUAGUUUUAAAUGAUUGGUUUUUAUGAAGAUUUGUUAACUCUAUUAAAAAUAUUUACUUCUGUUUGGUUUCUGCUUAAGUUAUAAAUGCC